GGGAAGGAUGAGAAGCUUCGACUAAGGUUCGAUUCGAGCGAAAGCGAGAAAGCGUUGCCGCAGGCAACGACCCGAAGGGCGAAACGCGCAGCGCUGAGUCAUCCUUCCCCCACCACCA
rnacentral:sRNA from 4 species